CCUACGGGUGGCUGCAGUGGGGAAUAUUGGACAAUGGGGGGAACCCUGAUCCAGCGACGCCGCGUGAGUGAAGAAGUAUUUCGGUAUGUAAAGCUCUAUCAGCAGGGAAGAAAGAAAUGACGGUACCUGACUAAGAAGCCCCGGCUAACUACGUGCCAGCAGCCGCGGUAAUACGUAGGGGGCAAGCGUUAUCCGGAUUUACUGGGUGUAAAGGGAGCGUAGACGGCGAUGCAAGUCUGAAGUGAAAGGCGGGGGCCCAACCCCCGGACUGCUUUGGAAACUGUAUGGCUGGAGUGAAGGAGAGGUAAGUGGAAUUCCUAGUGUAGCGGUGAAAUGCGUAGAUAUUAGGAGGAACACCAGUGGCGAAGGCGGCUUACUGGGCUGUAACUGACGUUGAGGCUCGAAAGCGUGGGGAGCAAACAGGAUUAGAUACCCUAGUAGUC
rnacentral:rRNA from 1 species